rnacentral:rRNA from 1 species
UGGGGAAUUUUGGACAAUGGGGGCAACCCUGAUCCAGCCAUGCCGCGUGAGUGAAGAAGGCCUUCGGGUUGUAAAGCUCUUUCAGCCGGGACGAAAUCGCAUGGGUGAAUAUCCUGUGUGGAUGACGGUACCGGAAGAAGAAGCACCGGCUAACUACGUGCCAGCAGCCGCGGUAAUACGUAGGGUGCGAGCGUUAAUCGGAAUUACUGGGCGUAAAGGGUGCGCAGGCGGUUUUGUAAGCCAGAUGUGAAAUCCCCGGGCUUAACCUGGGAACUGCAUUUGGGACUGCAAGGCUAGAGUGCGGCAGAGGGGGGUGGAAUUCCACGUGUAGCAGUGAAAUGCGUAGAUAUGUGGAGGAACACCGAUGGCGAAGGCAGCCCCCUGGGUCAGCACUGACGCUCAUGCACGAAAGCGUGGGGAGCAAACAG